rnacentral:rRNA from 1 species
UACGUAGGUGGCAAGCGUUGUCCGGAUUUAUUGGGUUUAAAGGGUGCGCAGGCGGGACAUUAAGUCAGGGGUGAAAGACGGUUGCUCAACAAUCGCAGUGCCUUUGAUACUGGUGUUCUUGGGUGACGGUGAGGUAGGCGGAAUGGGUGGUGUAGCGGUGAAAUGCAUAGAUACCACCCAGAACUCCGAUUGCGAAGGCAGCCUACUGGUCGUUAACCGACGCUCAGGCACGAAAGCGUGGGGAUCAAACAGG